rnacentral:lncRNA from 1 species
CCACACUUGAACUUCCCGGCUCACUUCCAGCAUACGAGACAUUGGCUCUCCCAUCUUUCUCUCUUGAGAACUUAGCCGGCUUCAGGUGAGGAUGCAAGAUCCAACAAUUGUUCUUCUUGUGUCCUUGUCUCUUGCAGUGAUCACAAUUUCCCGUAAACUUCUUUCCAUCAUACUGGUUAGAGCUUGCACGGUUUGCUUGCGGAACCUCAGCUUGGUUUGCAAGUGUCUUGUGCUUCAUAGCUUCUUCAUAAGAUCUUGGUAUCUCAUUCUCAUCCAAGUUACACAUAAACACCAUGUGCUCUUCUGGAUAUUCUGCAAAGGAACAUACGGCUUG